rnacentral:rRNA from 1 species
GAUGAACGCUGGCGGCGUGCCUAAUACAUGCAAGUCGAGCGAACAGACGAGGAGCUUGCUCCUUCGACGUUAGCGGCGGACGGGUGAGUAACACGUAGGUAACCUACCUAUAAGACUGGGAUAACUUCGGGAAACCGGAGCUAAUACCGGAUAAUAUUUCGAACCGCAUGGUUCGAUAGUGAAAGAUGGCUUUGCUAUCACUUAUAGAUGGACCUGCGCCGUAUUAGCUAGUUGGUAAGGUAACGGCUUACCAAGGCAACGAUACGUAGCCGACCUGAGAGGGUGAUCGGCCACACUGGAGCUGAGACACGGUCCAGACUCCUACGGGAGGCAGCAGUAGGGAAUCUUCCGCAAUGGGCGAAAGCCUGACGGAGCAACGCCGCGUGAGUGAUGAAGGUCUUCGGAUCGUAAAACUCUGUUAUUAGGGAAGAACAAACGUGUAAGUAACUGUGCACGUCUUGACGGUACCUAAUCAGAAAGCCACGGCUAACUACGUG